rnacentral:lncRNA from 1 species
AGGUUGCAGUAAGUCUGGAUGCCACAUCAAACUGUUUGUGGUACUUCUAAACUUCGUGGAAGAGCCCUGUUUCAUAAAUCUGAGACAGCCUUGGUCUGAGGGAGCAAAGACAGAGAAUUCACGUGCUGCCCAGGCAUAGCCACAUAGCAGGUGGACAUCCCUGGACACUUUUCUGGACCCUCAUUGGAUUUUCCUGGAAGUACGGAGAGUUACAUCCAGAGAACUCUGAACAUUUUGGAAGGACCCCAAUCCUGCAAACAAUGAAUGGCAAUAAAUCCUGGGACUGGAAAGGGGGCUUCUCAACCCCAAGGCAACCAUAAAGUCCUAUACAAAGAAAGAUACAGCAGUGUGAAAGAGGCCUGGAUGAAAAAACAAAGACAGAGCCAGUGAGCCAGAGCCAGAGCCAGAGGACAAGAGAGAAAGGCAGAGAAUGGAAAACACAGACAGAGAAGGCAGAUGCGUAGAGAGACAGAGAUUCAAUGAGAAAAUAAGGAAGGAAGAAAGAAAGAAAACAAAAACGUUCUCAGCACUACAACUUCUGCCUUGUUCUGUUCCAGAACAGUAUGAGCUCAGUACUUUUUCAGACUCUCAAUUUUCUACAACUAAUAAUUUGCUCUUUCAGUUAGUGGCAAAGGCUUAACGACAAAGGUUCAUCUUUAAUAUUAGAGAGGCACUUUUAAAAUUUAUGAUGCUAAGCCUUUUGUUCUGGAUAUGGUAUGUUGCACAGGUCUAGGGACUGGGAUUUCAGAUGUCUAUUCCGUACCCUUAUUCUUUUAUUUAUUAAAUCUUUUAGUGUGUAUUUUUUUCUAUUUUCUCUUCUUUUAUUAGUAUGUAUUUCUUGAGUCAUUAACAUACAACAUAUAUAGGACUUCCUCUGAGGAUACAAUAAUGUAUAUGAUGGACAAGAUACGUAAAAGUGCCUUGAAGAGACUUGGUCUUGUGAGGGGACAGACAGGAAACAGGCAAUUAUCACCUAACUUAGGUCUGUUGUUUCAAGGUAAAAUAAGAAUAAUAACAUCUGUGUUGGCUGGGAUGUUGUGAGUGUUUGUGGAGAUAAUAGUACAAAUGAAAUUACUGAGGGACAAUGGUGAAGAUAGGGCCAUAUCAUGGAGCUUACACUAGUGAUGGAAGGAGAUGGGAGAUACAAAAGCAAGUCAAUAUUUCAGAUUUCGUAAAUGAAUGGCAAGCAUAGAGCAGUGAGGCAGAGAAUGACUGGAGAAAGAGACUAUGUUAAACUGGAUAGUAAAGGAAGAGCAGGACCCCACUAAACUAUAUGGAGUUUUGUGCAAAUCACAUGAACACACGUAGAACAUUUUAGGCUGCUCAUGUGACUUUGGAUUUGUCCUAAGGGCAAUAGUAAGCCUUUGAACUGCUUUAGCAUGAUAGGAUUUUAAAAGAUCACUGGCUGCUGUGUGAACAAAAAUAAUGUUGUAAAGAAAAGGAUAUUAGCUGUAUCAGAUCAGCUGGAGACUACUGAAAUAACCCAAGCUGGCUUGGACUACAUAGGAGUAGUGUAAACUCAUUCAUUCAUGCAAGAAAUACUUACUGAGUGCCUACUCAGUACCAGACCCUUUUCUAGGACAUGGAGUUAUAGCAGUGAACAAUAUAGAAAAAAAUCCCCGAAUUCAUGGAGACUCCAGUGAGCAGAGACAAAAAAAUAGCAACUAAAUAAGUUAAAAGGAAUUGAGUACCCUAUAAAAGUUUAUCAGGGAAAUGUUAUAAGGAAUGACUUUCGGAGUAAUGGGUAGUGAUCUUAAAUGUAUGGUCAAUGAAAAUCAGAAGUUGUAGAGAAGUGGAUAAAUUCACAGUACGUUUUAAAGUAGACCUAAUAAGACUUAAUGAAUUUGAUGUGGCAAGUGAGAAAAAUACAUCAAGGAUGAUGACUUUUAUAAUUUGACUUGAGUAUCUGGGAACAAACAAGUACAGUGCCAUAAUAAGGGCAGAAAAUUUUCCAUUCACUCAGCAACUUAUGAACUCAUUUGCUUAGUCUUUAUUGCCUCUUGCAUUAUGUAGUUUUCACUUUGCUGGAGUACUUGUAUAGAAGAUCACCAGUGAAGAAGCCAGAGAUGGUUUAUUUGGUCAUCCCAAUAAUACAUCUUAUUGUUAAUUAACUCUCAAGGGUUUUUUUUCACAAUUUUAGAAAAGGUUUAAGCAAAUGAAUUAUUUAACAUGAAUUGGCUAUGUGACCCUACUAUAAGGUGUUUAAAACACCAACAGCUUAAACUUCUUAGAUCAAAGGACAUCCUCCAGGCCAAAAUGUUUCCACUGGAACGGUUUCUUUGCUUCCUGAUUAAAAGCUUCCCUAAUAUAUUUCCACGUGUUAUUACAUAUUUUCGUAUUCACUUUGAUGGAAAGCAAGAAUAGCAGCCAAAUACAUAUUUCAUGCAUUCUUUUGAUUAAAAAUGAUAAAGG